GACGAACGCUGGCGGCGUGCUUAACACAUGCAAGUCGAACGGAAAGGCCCUGCUUUUGUGGGGUGCUCGAGUGGCGAACGGGUGAGUAACACGUGAGUAACCUGCCCUUGACUUUGGGAUAACUUCAGGAAACUGGGGCUAAUACCGGAUAGGAGCUCCUGCUGCAUGGUGGGGGUUGGAAAGUUUCGGCGGUUGGGGAUGGACUCGCGGCUUAUCAGCUUGUUGGUGGGGUAGUGGCUUACCAAGGCUUUGACGGGUAGCCGGCCUGAGAGGGUGACCGGCCACAUUGGGACUGAGGGACGGCCCAGACUCCUACGGGAGGCAGCAGUGGGGAAUAUUGCACAAUGGGCGGAAGCCUGAUGCGGCAACGCCGCGUGCGGGAUGACGGCCUUCGGGUUGUAAACCGCUUUCGCCUGUGACGAAGCGUGAGUGACGGUAAUGGGUAAAGAAGCACCGGCUAACUACGUG
rnacentral:rRNA from 1 species